rnacentral:misc_RNA from 1 species
GAUGAAGAACGCAGCGAAAUGCGAUAAGUAAUGCGAAUUGCAGAAUUCCAGUGAGUCAUCGAAUCUUUGAACGCACAUUGCGCCCUUUGGUAUUCCGAAGGGCAUGCCUGUUCGAGCGUCAUUAUCACCCCUCAAGCCCUCGGCUUGGUGUUGGACGGUUUGGUGGAGGCCCCCUCGGGGGCUCCUGCCCCUCCCAAAGAUAAUGACGGCGGCCUCGUUGGACCCCCGGUACACUGAGUUCUUCACGGGACACGUAUCGGACACAUGGGUUUACGGGACACGGUCUGCCUCCCCUCAGGGAGAAUCUUUCUAAGGUUGACCUCGGAUCAGGUAGGGAUACCCGCUGAACUUAAGCAUAUCAAUAAGCGGAGGA